GUGAAUCAUCAAAUUUUUGAACGCAAAUUGCACUCCCUGGUAUUCCGGGGAGUAUGCCUGUUUGAGGGUCGUUAGAACAAAAAUCGAAGCGUCGCUCUUUUUUUUUAAGGGUGAUCGGGUGGGAAUUGAGCCGUUUUUAAAAGGUUAAUUCAUGUAAAAGUGGCUUGAAUUUAAUCCAUCGGUUAGGAUUAAAGCGUAUUUAAGAUAAAUUUUGAUUAAGAACGCGGGAUGAAGGUACAAUCUA
rnacentral:misc_RNA from 1 species